AGUGAACGCUGGCGGUAGGCCUAACACAUGCAAGUCGAACGGCAGCACAGUAGGAGCUUGCUCUUACGGGUGGCGAGUGGCGGACGGGUGAGGAAUACAUCGGAAUCUACUUUUUCGUGGGGGAUAACGUAGGGAAACUUACGCUAAUACCGCAUACGACCUACGGGUGAAAGCAGGGGAUCUUCGGACCUUGCGCGAUUGAAUGAGCCGAUGUCGGAUUAGCUAGUUGGCGGGGUAAAGGCCCACCAAGGCGACGAUCCGUAGCUGGUCUGAGAGGAUGAUCAGCCACACUGGAACUGAGACACGGUCCAGACUCCUACGGGAGGCAGCAGCGGGGAAUAUUGGACAAUGGGCGCAAGCCUGAUCCAGCCAUACCGCGUGGGUGAAGAAGGCCUUCGGGUUGUAAAGCCCUUUUGUUGGGAAAGAAAAGCAGCAGGUUAAUACCCCGCUGUUCUGACGGUACCCAAAGAAUAAGCACCGGCUAACUUCGUG
rnacentral:rRNA from 1 species